GACGAACGCUGGCGGCGUGCUUAACACAUGCAAGUCGAGCGAGGCCCUCCUUCGGGGGGUGCCCUAGCGGCGAACGGGUGAGUAACACGUGGGCAACCUGCCCUCAGCUCUGGGAUAACUCCAAGAAAUUGGUGCUAAUACCGGAUGUGACCGCUGACCGCAUGGUCUGGUGGUGGAAAGAUUUAUCGGCUGAGGAUGGGCCCGCGGCCUAUCAGCUUGUUGGUGGGGUCACGGCCCACCAAGGCGACGACGGGUAGCCGGCCUGAGAGGGUGACCGGCCACACUGGGACUGAGACACGGCCCAGACUCCUACGGGAGGCAGCAGUGGGGAAUAUUGCGCAAUGGGCGAAAGCCUGACGCAGCGACGCCGCGUGAGGGAUGACGGCCUUCGGGUUGUAAACCUCUUUCAGUAGGGACGAAGCGCAAGUGACGGUACCUACAGAAGAAGCACCGGCCAACUACGUGCCAGCAGCCGCGGUAAUACGUAGGGUGCAAGCGUUGUCCGGAAUUAUUGGGCGUAAAGAGCUCGUAGGCGGUCUGUCACGUCGGCUGUGAAAACCCGAGGCUCAACCUCGGGCCUGCAGUCGAUACGGGCAAACUAGAGUACUUGCAG
rnacentral:rRNA from 1 species